GUAAGCCUGCGAAGGUGGCCUGUGAGGGUUGCUGGAGGUAUCAGAAGUGCGAAUGCUGACAUAAGUAACGAUAAAGCGGGUGAAAAGCCCGCUCGCCGGAAGACCAAGGGUUCCUGUCCAACGUUAAUCGGGGCAGGGUGAGUCGACCCCUAAGGCGAGGCCGAAAGGCGUAGUCGAUGGGAAACGGGUUAAUAUUCCCGUACUUGGUGUUACUGCGAAGGGGGGACGGAGAAGGCUAUGUUGGCCGGGCGACGGUUGUCCCGGUUUAAGCGUGUAGGUGUGUGUUCCAGGUAAAUCCGGUUCACUUUAACACUGAGGCGUGACGACGAGGCACUACGGUGCUGAAGCAACAAAUGCCCUGCUUCCAGGAAAAGCCUCUAAGCAUCAGGUAACAUCAAAUCGUACCCCAAACCGACACAGGUGGUCAGGUAGAGAAUACCAAGGCGCUUGAGAGAACUCGGGUGAAGGAACUAGGCAAAAUGGUGCCGUAACUUCGGGAGAAGGCACGCUGACACGUAGGUGAAGUGAUUUACUCAUGGAGCUGAAGUCAGUCGAAGAUACCAGCUGGCUGCAACUGUUUAUUAAAAACACAGCACUGUGCAAACACGAAAGUGGACGUAUACGGUGUGACGCCUGCCCGGUGCCGGAAGGUUAAUUGAUGGGGUCAGCGCAAGCGAAGCUCCUGAUCGAAGCCCCGGUAAACGGCGGCCGUAACUAUAACGGUCCUAAGGUAGCGAAAUUCCUUGUCGGGUAAGUUCCGACCUGCACGAAUGGCGUAAUGAUGGCCAGGCUGUCUCCACCCGAGACUCAGUGAAAUUGAACUCGCUGUGAAGAUGCAGUGUACCCGCGGCAAGACGGAAAGACCCCGUGAACCUUUACUAUAGCUUGACACUGAACAUUGAGCCUUGAUGUGUAGGAUAGGUGGGAGGCUUUGAAGUGUGGACGCCAGUCUGCAUGGAGCCGACCUUGAAAUACCACCCUUUAAUGUUUGAUGUUCUAACGUGGACCCGUUACCCGGGUUGCGGACAGUGUCUGGUGGGUAGUUUGACUGGGGCGGUCUCCUCCUAAAGAGUAACGGAGGAGCACGAAGGUUGGCUAAUCCUGGUCGGACAUCAGGAGGUUAGUGCAAUGGCAUAAGCCAGCUUGACUGCGAGCGUGACGGCGCGAGCAGGUGCGAAAGCAGGUCAUAGUGAUCCGGUGGUUCUGAAUGGAAGGGCCAUCGCUCAACGGAUAAAAGGUACUCCGGGGAUAACAGGCUGAUACCGCCCAAGAGUUCAUAUCGACGGCGGUGUUUGGCACCUCGAUGUCGGCUCAUCACAUCCUGGGGCUGAAGUAGGUCCCAAGGGUAUGGCUGUUCGCCAUUUAAAGUGGUACGCGAGCUGGGUUUAGAACGUCGUGAGACAGUUCGGUCCCUAUCUGCCGUGGGCGCUGGAGAACUGAGGGGGGCUGCUCCUAGUACGAGAGGACCGGAGUGGACGCAUCACUGGUGUUCGGGUUGUCAUGCCAAUGGCACUGCCCGGUAGCUAAAUGCGGAAGAGAUAAGUGCUGAAAGCAUCUAAGCACGAAACUUGCCCCGAG
rnacentral:rRNA from 1 species